AACCAGCACCUCAAGUGGUCAGGAUGAUUAUUGGGCCUAAAGCAUCCGUAGCCUGCUUUGUUAGUUUUCGGUUAAAUCUGUACGCUUAACGUACAGGCUGCCGGGAAUACUGCAAAGCUAGGGAGUGGGAGAGGUAGACGGUACUCGGUAGGAAGGGGUAAAAUCCUUUGAUCUAUUGAUGACCACCUGUGGCGAAGGCGGUCUACCAGAACACGUCCGACGGUGAGGGAUGAAAGCUGGGGGAGCAAACCGGAUUAGAUACCCGGGUAGUCCCAGCUGUAAACCAUGCAAACUCAGUGAUGCAUUGGCUUGUGGCCAAUGCAGUGCUGCAGGGAAGCCGUUAAGUUUGCCGCCUGGGAAGUACGUACGCAAGUAUGAAACUUAAAGGAAUUGGCGGGGAGCACCACAAGGGGUGAAGCCUGCGGUUC
rnacentral:rRNA from 1 species